ensembl:lncRNA
GGCGGCUCCGGGAAGAGGAAGGAGCUUGCUGGUCUCGGGCGCCCGCAUCUCUCUUCACCCGGGAACGUGCUGGGACGGGCCGUGGGCGGCCUGGGCUCGGGCCCCAGUCUUCCCCUCCCCGCUCCGAAUCUCCGGGAAUCCUAGUGUCACUCGAGGAUGCUGGGCGGGAGGAACUCUGGGUUGACCGCUCCGUUAGGAAACGGCCCUGAAAUCCAGAUCCAGGCGUCCCGGGCAGGGGUCAGAGACUCAGGGCGCCCGGAAGCUGCCGCACGCCUUGCUGAGGAGUCCAGUGCUACGUUACUUGAAGGACCCUAGCCUUCCGGGCCCCCAAACGUGGCACAUGUGUGAAGAAUAACUAAGCUCACCCCUUGCCUAGCUCUGCAGCCACGUUUUUCAGGACUGAAGCUCACAGGACCUGCCGUGCAGGACAAGAAGGUCUUGGGCCCCACCCGUGCACAGUACAAGAAAGUGUUGGAAAGUCCUCCCGGUGUUGAGAGAUUGAACCCAGGGCUUCGUGCAUCCUAGGCAAAACUUUUUACUGCCAUAGUGGUGAAUGGAACACGCCAGCCAUGUAAAGAGGCCCACAGGGCAGAAAACCUUGCUGUUUUACUUUUCCUGUGAUCUGCUGACUACAUGCAGGCAGAACAGGAGACAGAUUUUCCGACAGUGAUCAAGGAACCUGAGCAUCUUGGAGGAGGCAUGGAGUCAAUGGAAGGCUUGGAUUCCACAAAUCCUUAUGUAGAUGGGCAGAGUCCAAAUGGUCAGGACCUGCACUUAUGCAUGGGGUCAGUGCAUAAGAGGUGCGAAUCACAAUCCUGGUCUGCUGCUGGGGCCCAGCUCUUAUGAACACCUAUAUGAACAGGGGUACAGCCAAGGUUAGACCAUCCUGUGAUAGUUCAGAAAGUCACCUGUCCCUGUGAUGGCAGCCAGGACACAUGGAAACCAUCAGUUAGUCGAAGUAUUUACUAAGCACCCUCUGGGUACAAAGCUAGUGAGGAACAAAACCACAUCUGAAAAGGAGAAGGCAUGGGGAAUACCCUGGUGUUAGGAAACAGUCACCUGCUGAUUGACUCAUCUUGCUGUGAGUAGAAAGCUUUCCCCUAAGGAAGGGCAAGAUGUGCCUCUAGGAAAAUUGUCCAGGACAGGACAAAAGUCUCUCUUUCAAUACCACACAUGCUGUCAGAGGUAACUUUAGGCUUAAUAACCACCGGGGAAAAGAAUCUAUCUCAAGAUGAUAAAGGGAGGUAGAUGCAGGUUGUAGGAGGCUAGAAGUAGGAGGAGAUGGAAAGGAAGAUUCUCUCUCAAUCUCUCUGUCUCUGUCUCUCUGUCUCUCUCUCUCUCUGUCUCUCUCUCUCUCUCUCUCUCUCUCUCUCUCUCUCUCUCUCUCUCUCUCUCUCUCUCUCUCUCUCACACACACACACACACACACACACACACUAGGAUAGUGCUCUAGCACUCCACACUCCCAGCCCAUAUCCCAUUUGUAAGCAAGUCUCUUUAUGUGGCUUGACUGAUUAAAUCAUUGGCCAUUGAUAAUUAACUCAAUCUGCAGCCCCCUUCCCCUUCCUGAAGAUUGGUGGGCAAGGCUGGAAAUCCCAACCUUCUCAUCUUGCCUCAGUCUUUCUGGCUCCCAUCCUGAAUCCUCAUCCACCAUAGACAAAUGACCCUGGAGAUUCCAAGGGUCUUAGAAGUUCUUGUGUUGGGAUCAGGAAACUAAGACUACACAUUGUACCAAAAAGACACUCUGAUCACCCCAAUCACUCAGACAUAAGAGCUUUGGGAGUGCUAUGGCAGGGACUGGAAACAGAGACCAAGUGGCUAUUUCUUGCCAUGUCAUAUAGAAGAUGCAGAAAAUCUGAUGUUGUGACUGUUGUUGGUUAUAAAAUCUUAGGAAACUUCCCUCUCCUCAAUUGCCUCAUAAUUAAAUAAGAAGAUCAUGCCUCCCCUCUCCCUCUACUCCUAAUUUCCUGACAUAUGCCAGAAACAGUAGAGAUUAAGACACAACCUUGACCCCCAGGAGCUAAGGUCUUAGGAUGUUGGAGAUAAGUAUCAUCUUUGUUCCCUUCUAACACUAAAAUCUGUGGAAAAGUAUAGCAUGUCUCCUGAUUAAAUCAAAGUUUUUUGGGGGGUGUUUUUUUUCUUUACUUGAACCCAGGGCCUCACACAUGGGAGAUGAGAUGAGUGCUCAGCCACUGAGCUACACCCUCAACCCUCUAUUUCAGUUUUAAUUAGCAUGAAUUUAUAUCAACCAUUGCAUAAGUUGGACGAAACACCACUGUUGUUCUUUGACAUCCUAAACUAGGAAUGUUACCAAAACUCUCUCUUAAUGCUUAUUGGACUUCCAAGUCAAUCCUGAGUCUUGUGGAUAUGAAACUCAUUCGAAGGGUAAAGAUCAUGCAUCGAAGCAACAGGAUUACAAAUAAACACCACCGCUGAAUCAGAAUUGGAAAGAAGUCUCAUCUAAAAUAUGAAAAAUGGAUGCUAUAGAAUUUUUAAAAUUUUAUGUUUCUGAUUAAAUGUGAUCUAAGGAUGGCUAUUACAAUCCGUGAAAAGCUGCUGUCUUUUUAAAAUUCCUGAAAAAAUUUCUCACAUAAAGAGAAUUCAUGGAGUAUAAAAAGCAGUGAGAAUAAGUCGAAAGAAAAAGCUCUAAGCAUUUGCUCGCAACUGCAUUCAUUCCACUGCACUAUGCCAGGAAUUCCAUUUAUAAAAGCAGCAUGUAUAUGAACUUCU